AUGGUGAGUUCACCAGACUCUAAGGUCUACCUUGACCGCCCGAACCGGUCCCAGAGAGUCAUGCUUAAGGUUGUGAAGGUUCUCAUCCACAACGGCCACCGGUCUAUGGAGGCCUAUGCUAUCCUAGAUGAUGGCUCAGAAAGAACUAUUGUUCUCUCACCUGUCGUACAGGACCUCAGGAUCAGUGGAACUCCUGAGACUCUCCCUCUUCAGACAGUCCACCAGAAGGUGAAGCAGCUACAUGGCCGGACGGUCUCCUUUGAGGUCUCACCUAUAUCCAGGCCUACUGAGAAGCAUAAAGUUUCAAAUGCUUUCACAGCCCAAGAGUUAAGCCUAGCCAAACAUGACUAUCCUGUCGCAGCUCUCCAGAGAGCCUAUCAUCAUCUAAGCGGUCUUCCACUGCUUCCGGUAGAGCAUGUACAACCGUUGCUCCUCAUUGGAUCGGACAUGCCACAUCUACUUUCUCCCAUUGAGCCCAUUCGCCAAGGUCCAACCGGAGGGCCUAUAGCAGUCUGCACUCGAUUAGGCUGGUCACUCCAAGGUCCAAUGAUCCCCAUUCAGAGCCCAUGUAGUGGACAUCAGCAGUGCCUGCAUAUUACCACGGCCUCAGCUGAUGUUGAGCUACUCCAGCACGUACAACGCUUAUGGCAGAUGGAUACAGUGCCUUUCUGUGCGAAAGAAGUAACCCGAUCAAAGCUAGACCAGCAAGCUUACAACUUGUUGCAAACCACCACUACUCAAGUCAGUGUGGAUGGCAGACAGCGCUAUGCAACCCCGCUGCUUCGUCGCACUCCUAUCAGUAUCCUUCAUGCACCAGAAGAAGCUGUGUUACCGAGUCUCCGCCGAGUAGAACGCCAGCUCGAUCGGGAUCCACUUAAGGCCAAGGAUUACUGCUCUGAAAUUCUCAAGCUGGAGGAAGCAGGAUACGUAGCUAAAGUCUCACCAGAGGAAGCACGUAAGACUGCUGAAUCGUGGUACAUUCCCCACCAUAUGGUUCAACACAAUGGCAAGAACAGGAUAGUCUUCAACUGUUCCUUUCAGUACCAUGGCCAAUCACUUAAUGAACAAUUGCAGCCUGGUCCGUCCUUAGGGCCCUCCUUGCUUGGUGUCCUCAUGAGGUUUCGUCAGCAUACAGUUGCUGUGAGCGGCGACAUAAAGGGCAUGUUUCAUCAAGUGCGCUUGUUACCACAAGACCGACCAAUUGUGCGUUUUCUGUGGAGAAAUAUGCACAGGGACGAAGAGCCGACCAUCUAUGAAUGGCAGGUACUCCCGUUUGGGACAACAUGCAGUCCAUGCUGCGCAAUAUAUGCACUACAGCACCACGUUGAACAUCUGAAAUCCGACACUGCUGGCAUUGCUGAGGUAGUCACCCAGGCCUUCUAUGUCGACAACUGCCUUUACAGCACCCCAGAUCCAGAUGAAGCCAAGGUUGUGGUGGACGGCCUGAGACAGCUCCUGGCUGAGGGAGGAUUUGAAAUCAGACAGUGGGCGAGUAGUUUACCUUCAGUCAUCAAACAUCUCCCACCGGAGGCCAGGUCUCCUAGUAGCGAGUUAUGGCUGUCACGGAGCACCUCAGACAUCCAAGAGCCAACGCUUGGCUUGCAGUGGAACUGCAUCAGUGACACUACCAUGAGGAACCUGUAUAAGACCCUGGCCAGCCAGUAUGACCCGCUGGGUUUCAUCGUGCCAUUCACUACCAGGGCUAUCCAAGACCUCUGGAAGCAAGAGCAGGGAUGGGAUGACCUGAUCAAGCCGCAGACUUUGCGAGACCAAUGGCUCACAUGGGUCAGUGAACUCAAGUACCUCACUCAGGUACAGUUUCCACGACCAUAUGCGCCAGCCUGUGCAGAUACCCACACAGCUGUGAGAGAACUCCAUAUCUUCUGUGACGCGUCGGAGAGAGCUUAUGGUUCAGUUGCCUAUCUACGCACCCUGGACGAUAACUCUAAUGUACACAUAGCCUUUAUCUUAGCCAGGUCUCGUGUUGCACCCAAGAAGUGUCUCUCCAUGCCCCGCCUGGAGCUGAGUGCAGCACUAACCGGAGCUCAGCUAGCUAAAGUGAUCCAGACCGAGCUGACAAUUCCUAUAAGACAGGUCGUCUGUUGGUCAGACUCCACUACUGUGCUGCAUUGGCUAGGUUCGGAGUCCUGCCGCUACAAGGUCUUUGUGGGGACGCGGGUAGCAGAAAUCCAGAGCCUAACCGACGUGGCGAGCUGGAGGUACGUGAAUUCAGCCCACAAUCCGGCAGACCACAUCACUAGGGGGUUACCAUUACAGGCGUUAGUGCAGCCUCAUCAGUGGAGAUCGGGUCCCAAAUUCUUACUGCAGUCACCUGCCCAGUGGCCUACUAUGCCCAGCACAUGUCCCGAACCAGACCUAGGUGAGCUUCGGAAAGGUGCCUUUGUCGGAGCUACUUCAGUAGUGAAUACUUUAGCCCAGGACCUUGAGCAGUACCCGACUUGGCGAGAGCUCAUCCAUGCCACAGUGAGGGCACUACACGGGGCGGCUGUUCCCUCCAGCGACAGUACGUACGAGGUGGCUGACUACAUUGCUGCUGAGAGGAGCCUCUUAGCACAAGCUCAAGAGGAAUCAUUCCCACAUGAGUUCAAGGCCCUCAAGGCCAACCGAUCUGUAGCACCAGACAGUCGGUUGAGUGCUUUGGCACCUGAAUACGAUGAGGCUGUUGGACUGAUCAGGGUUGGAGGGAGACUCUGA
rnacentral:lncRNA from 1 species